rnacentral:rRNA from 1 species
UAGAGUUUGAUCCUGGCUCAGAUUGAACGCUGGCGGCAGGCCUAACACAUGCAAGUCGAGCGGUAGAGAGAAGCUUGCUUCUCUUGAGAGCGGCGGACGGGUGAGUAAUGCCUAGGAAUCUGCCUGGUAGUGGGGGAUAACGUUCGGAAACGGACGCUAAUACCGCAUACGUCCUACGGGAGAAAGCAGGGGACCUUCGGGCCUUGCGCUAUCAGAUGAGCCUAGGUCGGAUUAGCUAGUUGGUGAGGUAAUGGCUCACCAAGGCGACGAUCCGUAACUGGUCUGAGAGGAUGAUCAGUCACACUGGAACUGAGACACGGUCCAGACUCCUACGGGAGGCAGCAGUGGGGAAUAUUGGACAAUGGGCGAAAGCCUGAUCCAGCCAUGCCGCGUGUGUGAAGAAGGUCUUCGGAUUGUAAAGCACUUUAAGUUGGGAGGAAGGGUUGUAGAUUAAUACUCUGCAAUUUUGACGUUACCGACAGAAUAAGCACCGGCUAACUCUGUGCCAGCAGCCGCGGUAAUACAGAGGGUGCAAGCGUUAAUCGGAAUUACUGGGCGUAAAGCGCGCGUAGGUGGUUUGUUAAGUUGGAUGUGAAAUCCCCGGGCUCAACCUGGGAACUGCAUUCAAAACUGACUGACUAGAGUAUGGUAGAGGGUGGUGGAAUUUCCUGUGUAGCGGUGAAAUGCGUAGAUAUAGGAAGGAACACCAGUGGCGAAGGCGACCACCUGGACUAAUACUGACACUGAGGUGCGAAAGCGUGGGGAGCAAACAGGAUUAGAUACCCUGGUAGUCCACGCCGUAAACGAUGUCAACUAGCCGUUGGAAGCCUUGAGCUUUUAGUGGCGCAGCUAACGCAUUAAGUUGACCGCCUGGGGAGUACGGCCGCAAGGUUAAAACUCAAAUGAAUUGACGGGGGCCCGCACAAGCGGUGGAGCAUGUGGUUUAAUUCGAAGCAACGCGAAGAACCUUACCAGGCCUUGACAUCCAAUGAACUUUCUAGAGAUAGAUUGGUGCCUUCGGGAACAUUGAGACAGGUGCUGCAUGGCUGUCGUCAGCUCGUGUCGUGAGAUGUUGGGUUAAGUCCCGUAACGAGCGCAACCCUUGUCCUUAGUUACCAGCACGUAAUGGUGGGCACUCUAAGGAGACUGCCGGUGACAAACCGGAGGAAGGUGGGGAUGACGCCAAGUCAUCAUGGCCCUUACGGCCUGGGCUACACACGUGUUACAAUGGUCGGUACAGAGGGUUGCCAAGCCGCGAGGUGGAGCUAAUCCCAUAAAACCGAUCGUAGUCCGGAUCGCAGUCUGCAACUCGACUGCGUGAAGUCGGAAUCGCUAGUAAUCGCGAAUCAGAAUGUCGCGGUGAAUACGUUCCCGGGCCUUGUACACACCGCCCGUCACACCAUGGGAGUGGGUUGCACCAGAAGUAGCUAGUCUAACCUUCGGGAGGACGGUUACCACGGUGUGAUUCAUGACUGGGGUGAAGUCGUAACAAGGUAGCCGU